rnacentral:rRNA from 1 species
AACGAACGCUGGCGGCAGGCCUAACACAUGCAAGUCGAACGGUAGCAGGAGAAAGCUUGCUUUCUUGCUGACGAGUGGCGGACGGGUGAGUAAUGCUUGGGAAUCUGGCUUAUGGAGGGGGAUAACGACGGGAAACUGUCGCUAAUACCGCGUAUUAUCGGAAGAUGAAAGUGCGGGACUGAGAGGCCGCAUGCCAUAGGAUGAGCCCAAGUGGGAUUAGGUAGUUGGUGGGGUAAAGGCCUACCAAGCCUGCGAUCUCUAGCUGGUCUGAGAGGAUGACCAGCCACACUGGAACUGAGACACGGUCCAGACUCCUACGGGAGGCAGCAGUGGGGAAUAUUGCGCAAUGGGGGGAACCCUGACGCAGCCAUGCCGCGUGAAUGAAGAAGGCCUUAGGGUUGUAAAGUUCUUUCGGUAUUGAGGAAGGUUGAUGUGUUAAUAGCACAUCAAAUUGACGUUAAAUACAGAAGAAGCACCGGCUAACUCCGUGCCAGCAGCCGCGGUAAUACGGAGGGUGCGAGCGUUAAUCGGAAUAACUGGGCGUAAAGGGCACGCAGGCGGUUAUUUAAGUGAGGUGUGAAAGCCCCGGGCUUAACCUGGGAAUUGCAUUUCAGACUGGGUAACUAGAGUACUUUAGGGAGGGGUAGAAUUCCACGUGUAGCGGUGAAAUGCGUAGAGAUGUGGAGGAAUACCGAAGGCGAAGGCAGCCCCUUGGGAAUGUACUGACGCUCAUGUGCGAAAGCGUGGGGAGCAAACAGG